rnacentral:lncRNA from 1 species
CCCAUCCGAGCCUCUGCUGUAAACAUAUUCCUUCCAAACUUCCAUUACAGGUAGACUUCAGUUGAGCUUCUUCGUAGUCGGGUCCCGCGACAACCGAUCUUCGAUCAAGCUUCUACAAUGGGACAGGACUCAUCAGUCGGGUCACUACUCCGAGCUCCCACGACAACUGACCUUUGAUCGAGCUUCUACAAUAAGCGGUCUCCUUUCAGCCUUCUACAAGAACCAGACUUUGACCGAACUUCCAUAGCGAUUGGAU